UAAGGAAUAUUGGUCAAUGGACGCAAGUUUGAACCAGCCAUGCCGCGUGGAGGAUGAAGGUCCUCUGGAUUGUAAACUUCUUUUAUCUGGGACGAAAAAAGGGAAUUCUUUCUCGUCUGACGGUACCAGAUGAAUAAGCACCGGCUAACUCCGUGCCAGCAGCCGCGGUAAUACGGAGGGUGCAAGCGUUAUCCGGAUUCACUGGGUUUAAAGGGUGCGUAGGCGGGUAUGUAAGUCCGUGGUGAAAUCUCCGAGCUUAACUCGGAAACUGCCAUGGGUACUGCGUAUCUUGAAUGUUGUGGAGGUGAGCGGAAUAUGUCAUGUAGCGGUGAAAUGCUUAGAUAUGACAUAGAACACCAAUUGCGAAGGCAGCUCACUACACAAAUAUUGACGCUGAGGCACGAAAGCGUGGGGAUCAAACAGGAUUAGAUACCCUGGUAGUCCACGCCCUAAACGAUGAUUACUCGACAUACGUGAUAC
rnacentral:rRNA from 1 species